rnacentral:lncRNA from 1 species
AUGUUUAAAUUAUUUGUUUUUAAAUCUCCCUUUGUCCUUUCAGGGGGCUUUCAGGAGACAGGAAAGCUAACUGCACCAGUCUGCCAUCUUAAAUCUGAACCGAAUCUGCAUUUCUAUAGGUCACUCCGGUGGAGGAUCUGUACUGCAGUUAGGAGAGAGAAUGGAGACACUCGCAGUUUCAAAAGUGCCAUUCCUUCCAGAAACACUGACACCUUAAGCUGUGUAACCCGGGACCUCUGGAGGGUCCCCAAGUCUCGGAGGAUAAGCAAUCCUGGAGGGGGCCUCGCAUUGAAAACAGCCUGAUGUUCUCAGUCACUGCUUGCAAAACAGCUGCCCUAGGGAAACACCUGGACCUGCCAAAGACCUUGCAAGAAAGAUAAGUAAAGUUCUCUUGUAUUAAGUCACUGAGACUUUGGGAUUGUUUGUUCCUGUAGCCUAUCCCUUCCUGACAAACAAGAGAUUUGAGAAACAAACCGGCCAGGCGCGGUGGCUCAAGCCUGUAAUCCCAGCACUUUGGGAGGCCGAGGCGGGUGGAUCACGAGGUCAAGAGAUCGAGACCAUCCCAGUCAGCAUGGUGAAACCCCAUCUCUACUAAAAAUAUUUAAAAAAAUUAGCUGGGCAUGGUGGUGCAUGCCUGUAAUCUUAGCUACUCGGGAGGCUGAGGCGGGAGAAUUGCCUGAACCCAGGAGGCAGAGGUUGUGGUGAGCCAAGAUCGCGCCAUCGCACUCCAGCCUGGGUAACAAGAGCGAAACUCUGUCUCAAAAAUAAAGAAAGAAAGAAAAAAGAAAAACAAACCACCCCACUACUUGUGUAGACAAGGGUAACUUUGAGUCAUAAAGAGGUUGACUCCAGUAGUGGUCUUGAUCCAGUGUUCCCAAACUGACUGUGUCCUGAUAAACAUAUCUGUGUAUAAGAUAGAGAAGCCCAAUCCAGAGUCACCAAUUUAGGCACCUAAGGCUGUUACACACUCUUACUCAAGCUUGGCACAGAGAAAGUGAGGUUUCCUUCACAUGGAGGAUCAUUGGUAUCUGUGCUGGAAGCUGGACUAGCCAAAAUUCACAGCAGGAGUGACCAGUCAUCUACUGGAGUAGGCGGGAUGAGUAUGAACAGUGUAGCCAAUUCACAUCAACAUUCUUGAGUUGACAUGCGGACAGCUGAGCUUCUCCAAUAUAAAGACAUGUUUCUUAUUUUGUUUCAAUCCUCGAAAGAUUAAAAAAUCCAAAUCGUUUCCAUCUUAGAGGGCUGGCAACGACUGUUAUCACCAUGUUCCCGCUGACAGCUUGCACAUUGUUUUCAGGACUUUGAAGGUCCUGGAAUUAACCAGACUUCAAAGACCACCAAGGAGCAGCCCGGGCUCUCAAGAACUGCAGGAGAAAAGCUGGUCUUCAGAGGGUCUGAAAGUCCCAGAUCACGUCCUGCCUUUCCACAGUGCAGGAGAAUAAUAGCUUUUAGUCUGUUCAGAAGCAGAUUAACUCUGGAACCUGUAAUUUUGUCCAAAAAAAUUUUACUGAAUGCCUGUUGUGAUGUAGACAGUAUUCUCGGUGUUGAGAAUUUAGCAUUGACCAAAGACAUAAUCCCUGAUAUUGUGGAACUUAUUUUCUGGGGUUGGGGAGACACAUAAAAUAAACAGAUGAACAAAUGUACAUAUCAAUUAAUGUUAGAUUGUACCAAGUAUCAUAAAGACCAUAAAAAGGUGGUGUCAUAGACAUGUAGUUGAGUUAGGGAUGACUGCUUGGAUUGAGUGGUCAGGAAAAGCCUCUUGGAGCAGGUAACUUUGGAACUGAGCCUAAAUUAUAAUAGUAAUAGCUAACAAUGAUUAAGGCCUUUCUUUGUGCCAAGAAAUGUUCAAAGCAUUUUACACGUAUGGCUAUUUUUAAUCCUCAAUAACUCCAUGAAAUCAGUAUUAUAAUCUCCAUUUUACUGAUGAAGAAACUGAGGCAGAGAAGGGCUUGGUUACAAACCUAACAUCACACAGCUAGGAAAAGGAGGAGGCAGCCUUCUAACCCAAGCAGCCAGGCUCCAGCAUCCGCUCUUAUACAUUAUACAACACUGUUUCUUAACAAAUGCCGUGUGCGUGUGUGUGUGUGUGUGUGUGUGUGUGUGUGUGUGUGUGUGUCUUCUGUCUGGGCAUGGUGGCUCAUGCCUGUACUCCCAGGACUUUAGGAAGUUGAGAUGGGUAGAUCACUAGAGCUCAGGAGUUCAAGACCAGCCUGGGCAAGAUGGCAAAACUCUGUCUCUACAAAAAAUACAAAAAAAAAAAAAAUUAGCCUGCCAUGGUGGUGUGCACCUGUGGUCCCAGCUACUUGGGAGGCUGAGGUGGGAGGAUCACUUGAGCUCAGGAGGUCAAGGCUGCAGUGAGCCAAGAUUGUGCCACUGCACUUUAACCUAGGUGACAGAGGGAGAUCCUGUCUCCAAAAAAUAUAUAUGUGUGUGUGUGUGUGUAUGUGUGUGUGUAUAUAUGUGUGUGUGUGUAUUAUUUUAUUUAUAUUUUACUGAGAUUUCAGUAAAAACUCCAGGGCCAAGGCCAAGGGUAGAGCAAGUUAAAAGUUCCUGUUUAGAAAGCAGACCUCUGGCCC